rnacentral:lncRNA from 13 species
CUUCUUGUUUUAUGUCCUUGGGAGCUUGACCUUGUAACGACACGGCGGUACUUUCUCUUGGUCUCUGCCCUCCAGGGAACAGGAAUUUUAGGGUUUAUGUCAUAGUUCUAAAAAUUAUUUUGAGUAGUUAAAAGCCUUUGCAAGCUCAAAAUUAACUACUCUUGAUUCCCUCUGGGAAGAGUAGUGAAGACGGCCCUAUGAUGUAACUCAGUAGCUAAGGCUUUGCCCUCUCACACUGAUGAUCUGGGUUCAAUUCUCUGCCUAUGAAAUGGAGUUUCACUCUUGUUGCCCAGGCUGAAUUGCAUGGCAUACUCUCAGCUCACUGCAACCUCCAUCUCCUCAGUUCGAGCAAUUCUCCUGCCUCAGCCUCGCAAGUAGUUGGGAUUAUAGCCAUGUGCCACCACGCUCAGCUAAUUUUGUAUUUUUAGUAGAGACCAGGUUUCUCCCUGUUGGUCAGGCUGGUUUCGAACUCCCAACCUAGGUGAUCUGCCCGCCUUGGCCUCCCCAAAUGCUGGGAUUACAGGUGUGAACCACAGCACCUGGCCUCAACUAUUUUUUUCAAUGCAUAUUUUCUGAGUGUAUAAAAUCUUUCCCAUGCAAAAGUGCUGAUGUUAUAACAGUAGAUCAUUAUGCUACAGUAUAUUUUCACCAGGUAAAGAGAGCUUUUUUUGGUUCAAUGAGGACAAUCCCUUCACAAUCUAGAGCCUGAAGAUUGGAUCUUCUGAGAACUUCAGAGAAAGACUGUCUUUGCCAUCCACACUACAGCAAAACUUUGGAGCCUGGAACCUUUGGUUCAUAAUCUCACAGCUGAGAAGGGUCCUUCCACACUCCUGGAACUAAACACCCAUUGGAAACCUUAAGGUAAAAACUAACCAGGAAAGUUUCUCACCAGAAGAAGAUGGCAUCCUUGAUGUGAACAGCUUUUCCCAAGAUCACUGAUCAAGACUCCUGUGCAGCUACUGACACUUCUGGCUUAUGGAGAAAUACAUCAAAUAUAGAUUAUAAAAAUUCAGUUGUAGGGGAUUAAUGCAAGGAGCACUUGGUCAAGCAAGGAGACUCUUCAUACAGCUCAUUCUUUAAUUUAUUUUAUUUUACGUGGUUUGGUUUAUGGGAACCCUGGGUAAGGAGCAUACUCCAAACUAUAUUGCCCUCCCAAUAGUCACAGUGGUAGUCUCCCUGAUGUUGGGCUGUGUUCUCUCAAAGGUUUUCAGUGUUCACAUGCAGCCAUCUCUAGAAUGUCAAAUGGUCUCUCUUCAACUGGAAUGACAAAAGCUGAAAGAAAUAUGCGAGCAUGAGGACACUAUAACCUAUAAAUAAUGUGCUGAGACCGGAAACCCAAAAUGAUGGUAACUGAGAGUGACACUAAGGCCCUAGAUUUUGGUCACAUUCUUACCUAAGUGAGAACCUGGCCAAAAAGGGGGAGUUUUU